GACCAGCAUUUUCGCGCUUCCUCGGCUGCGAUGAGAGAAAUGAACUCUGCAGUUGCUCAGAGGCGCCCCGUUUUGACGGCGCAAGUUCCAGAGCAGGGAAUCUGCCGCUUAGAAUAGGUUCGGAUGGGGGCCUCUCCAAGAGUAAAAGGAGGCAUGAUAUACAGUAUGUCUGUUUUAUCUGUUUAGUAGUUUAAACAGCAGCGGCAACGGUGGCUGGUAGAUCCUUCCCUGUUUCCAGCACCACGUUUCCAAAAUGGCUGAGAAGUCAAGCUUGGACAUCCUCCGCACCCCUCACGUCCAGGUCCUUAUUCCCAGCAAGACCACUCCUGCAGUCAUAAAGACAAUUCCCACAUCAUCUUUCUUUUAAU
rnacentral:lncRNA from 1 species